AACAAACGCUGGCGGCGUGCCUAACACAUGCAAGUCGUACGAGAAAGGGUCCUUCGGGGCCUGAGUAAAGUGGCGCACGGGUGAGUAACGCGUGGAUAAUCUGCCCUUCAGUUGGGAAUAACUCAUCGAAAGGUGGGCUAAUACCGAAUAAUGCUGUGAGACCCCGGUUGAUCAGCCAAAGAGAGCCUCUGCUUGCAAGCCCUCGCUGAAUGAUGAGUCAGCGUACCAUUAGCUAGUUGGUAGGGUAAUGGCCUACCAAGGCGACGAUGGGUAGCUGGUCUGAGAGGAUGAUCAGCCACACUGAAACUGAGACACGGUCCAGACUCCUACGGGAGGCAGCAGUGAGGAAUCUUGCGCAAUGGGGGCAACCCUGACGCAGCAACGCCGCGUGAGUGAGGAAGGUCUUCGGAUCGUAAAGCUCUGUCGGAUGGAAAGAACCGCAUAGGGGUAAACAGCCCCUGUGUCUGACGGUACCAUCAAAGGAAGCACCGGCUAACUCCGUGCCAGCAGCCGCCGUAAGAC
rnacentral:rRNA from 1 species